rnacentral:sRNA from 1 species
GCCAGGCAUGGAAGCACACACCUGUAAUCCCAGCUACUUGGGAGGCUGAGGCAGGAGGAUUGAAAGUUGAGGCCAGCAUGGAUGGAUGCCUUAGCAAGAUCAUGUCUCUA